rnacentral:rRNA from 1 species
AAAACUUUCAACAACGGAUCUCUUGGCUCUCGCAUCGAUGAAAAACGCAACCAAAUGCCAUAAAGAAUGUGAAAUGCAGAAUUCAAGGAAUCAACCAAUCUUUGAAACCACCCUGCCCCCCUUGGUAUUCCGAAGGGCAACCCUGGUUGAGUGGCCGGA